AAAAACGUCAGAGCCUUUAUCCGUCUUAUAUCCAUUUCUACCUUAGGCUUCCAGGGCGGUGAAGCGAGAGAAAACAUGGAAAAAUCUCACGGACGCGAGCGAGCAAUCGAUCAUACGACACUCGACACGUUUGUUUUCACUUACAAUGAACGUUCCCGUAACGAUUGCACGUCUCGAGCAAAAUUUCUUGCGCGGCACGAGAGAAAUAAGUCAAGGCUUCUCGAGUCUUAUCUACCGAUGCACGAAACCGAGGAACUUUCCGCGGCCAUGUUUUAACUAUACCACAUCGCGUCGACACAAAGCGCGUCUAUUUUGCAACUUUCUAAAGAUGCAAUCGAGCCUUCCCGCGAAAACAAUUGGAAAAAUCUACAUUAGUGAAUUUUUAAACUUUUUUAUAUCAUUUUAUACUUCAUAAUUUCUUACUUUGAAGAAAAAUCGCUAAUUUAUGAUGACAUCUAUUUGAUCAUGUGACACAUGAUCAUGUGACUAUUAUGGUGCUCAUCCAUAAUUGUCAGUAGACCUGCUAGUGACGCCUAGUGGACAUCGAUGAUAAACGGAUAUAUGGCAAUAAACAAUCCGAAAGAGAAUGAUGUCGGAUGAUGUAAUGUAAAUUUGGUGGUGACCAUGGUAUAAAGAUACUAUAUGUAAUGAUAUUUAUUAUUUAAUCGUCGAAGCAUGGAGAUUUAAAAUUGGGAACGAAAAGUUUUAAUUAAAACAGAAGAGGAACAUAUUUUUUCACACUAUUGCCCUGAGAGAAAA